AUUGAACGCUGGCGGCGUGCUUUAUACAUGCAAGUCGAACGAUGAAGUUCCUUCGGGAAUGGAUUAGUGGCGAACGGGUGAGAAACACGUGAGAAACCUGCCUUUCAUUUUGGGAUAACUCCGGGAAACCGGAGCUAACACCGAAUACUCCGUCUCGGCGGCAUCGCUGAGCCGGGAAAAAUUUUGAUGAAAGAUGGUCUCGCGGCCUAUCGGCUAGUUGGUGAGGUAAUGGCUCACCAAGGCGACGACG
rnacentral:rRNA from 1 species